CCUACGGGAGGCAGCAGUGGGGAAUAUUGCGCAAUGGGCGAAAGCCUGACGCAGCGACGCCGCGUGAGGGAUGAAGGUCUUCGGAUCGUAAACCUCCGUCAGCAGGGAAGAAAGGUCACUGUGCUAAUCAGCAGUGAAUUGACGGUACCUGCAAGGGAAGCACCGGCGAACUCCGUGCCAGCCGCAGCGGUAAUACGGAGGGUGCGAGCGUUAAUCGGAAUUACUGGGCGUAAAGCGCGCGUAGGCGGUAUGUCAAGUCAAUGGUGAAAUCCCCGCGCUCAACGUGGGAACUGCCUUUUAAACUGGCAGACUGGAGUGUGUGAGAGGAUAGUGGAAUUCCAGGUGUAGGAGUGAAAUCCGUAGAUAUCUGGAGGAACAUCAGUGGCGAAGGCGACUAUCUGGCACAUAACUGACGCUGAGGAGCGAAAGCGUGGGUAGCAAACAGGAUUAGAUACCCGUGUAGUC
rnacentral:rRNA from 1 species